rnacentral:lncRNA from 1 species
UUUUUUCUUUUUUUUUUUUUUUUUGUCUUUUUGCUAUUUCUUGGGCCGCUCCAUAUGGAGGUUUCCAGGCUAGGGGUCGAAUCGGAGCUGUAGCCACCAGCCUAUGCCAGAGCCACAGCAACGCGGGAUCCGAGCCGCAUCUGCAACCUACACCACAGCUCAUGGCAACACUGGAUCGUUAACCCACUGAGCAAGCACAGGGACCGAACCUGCAACCUCAUGGUUCCUAGUCGGAUUCGUUAACCACUGCGCCACAAUGGGAACUCCCCAUUUCUUUUUUUUAAUUUUUUUUUGUCUUUCUGCCAUUUCUCGGGCUGCUCCCGUGGCAUAUGGAGGUUCCCAGGCUAGGGGUCUAAUCGGAGCUGUUGCCACUGGCCUACGCCAGAGCCACAGCAACAGCAACGGGGGAUCCGAGCCGCGUCUGCCACCUACACCACAGCUCACAGCAAGGCCAGAUCCUUAACCAACUGAGCAAGGCCAGGGAUCGAACCCACAACCUCAUGGUUCCUAGUUGGAUUCAUUAACCACUGAGCCACGAUGAGAACUCCUACAUGUACCUUUCUAGAAAAUUCAUAUGAUAUCACACACAUGUGGAAUCUAAAAUAUGACACAAAUGAACCUAUCUACAAAACAAAGAGAUGCAGGGACAAGGAGAACAAACCUGUGGUUGCAAAGGGGGGAGAAGGUGGUGGAGAGGGAUGGAUUGGGGGUUUGGGAUUAGCAGAUAGAAAAUAUAUAAAGAAUAGAUAAACAAACAAAAUUCAAAUGAAUCUAUAGACAGAAAGCUGAUCCUUGGCUGUUUAGGUGAAGGGAACAGGGUGGGAGGGAGGACAAAGGAGCUGGGGAGAAUUUUUGGGUGAUAGAUAUGCUAUCUUUUUUUUUUUUUUGCUUUUCAAGGCUGUACCUGUGGCAUGUGGAGCUCCCCUGCCAAAAAAGUACGUGGAUUAUGAAAGUAUGUGCAAUUUUAUAAAACUUCUUGUUUUCUUUUCAAAAUGUCCAAUCCUCAAGCCCGAUCACCGAGUUUCACAGGCGCCACCACAGGGAGACAGCUGGGAAUCUGUGAGCGUGUGUGUCUAUGCUCAGAGGUGCCAGGUGGUGCCACACACCUGACAGCCCUACAGGAAACGAUGAGUCUCAUAUGAACACACCCACACUCACACAUGUGCAUGCUCCCGCACAUACACACAGGGACACACGCACACAGACCUCACGUUCAUACAAAUAUACACAGCACAGACAUGUGCAUACACGCACUUAUGCAGACCCAGGGCUUCAUGAAGAGCCCAUCCCUCUGUGUCACAUACGACACAGCUAACACGCACCACAACUUUUGGGGGCGCAAUCCAGCUCAAGGACUGGGGGCUUUAGUUGGUCUCACACUGAAGCUGCCUGGAGGUAGGUGGCAGAAAGACCCCAUGGAUGCGCCUGCAUUCUCCCAGCAGACACCGAGCUGAGAGGCCAUCAGGAUCCAAUCAUAUGACCUUGCUCCUGCUCCCAGGGCCUCUGUCACCUGCUUUGAGGAAGGUCUUGCUGACGCUUAGAUAGGCUGAGGCUCUGUGCCCUCCAACAUCCUCCAGGGCCAGCUGAUCAAGAGGCACUCGCACGGCCACAGAGGGGACUUUGACAGCUCUGGGUCCCUUGGUGGGGGUAGCAGGAGACCCCAUGCUCAGAGACUGGGGGCCGUGGGGGCAGUCACAGGUCCAGUCAAGGCACACCCCACCCCCAGGCCAGGAGGAAGUAGAUAAGGCUUGCUCAAGGCGUCUGCUGACCACCCUGACCACUGGGGCUGUAGAGGGGGUGGUUAGCCAAAGAGAAGGGGCGGAGCAGGGCAGACAUCAGCCAGGGGCCCUUGCAGGAGUCCCCACAGGGACCAGCUGACCUGCCCUAUAGCAGUUGCCCCCCCAGCCAUUGUAGCCCACUCAGGCCCACCACACCUGUACCUGGAAACUCCUCCAUCCUGGACCUCCCCACCCAGCCAGCCUCUCCUGGGCCUGCUCUGCAGGGAGCCUACACUUCCCUCCCAGAGCAGCUCCCUUUCUCAGCUUCCCAGCGGGAGGACCCUCCUAUUAAAAGAGCUCAUGUGUCUUAAAACCAGAGACACCUACAAAUCCUUCUCCAGCCUAGGGUAGAGGUCCUUCCCUGCUUCCCUGUAGCCUGGAGCCAGCCCUUCCUGCUCCCACAUGCCCCUCGGCCCACACCCCCACUCCCAUGCCACAGAAACCACUGUUACCCACCCCAAAGGUGCCAUCAGACUCCUGCCAGUCAGACCUGCUGGCCAGCGGCUUCUCCAGGUCCUGCUUACUUACUCUGCAGCCCUGGGGACCCUGGGGUCAUCCGGACCUGCCACUGUGUAGGGGACCCUCUCCUGCCCUGAUCCCCAGGCUUUGCACCUAGAGCCAACAUCCAUUCUGUUGUGCCCCCUCAGGGGCCAAGUUCAUGUCCAUGGACGCUCACCCCACCUCCACCCCUCAACACCCAGGGUGUUUGUCCCUUGCUCCUCCCACUGACCACAUCCUGUCUGCUGUCCCCGGAACAGCCUUCUCUUCUCAUCGGGAGGUCAGGAGGGCCCCCGGGGCCCCCUGCCUCCAUCCUCUGGGUCACUGCAGGAGAGUACCUGGAAGCAUCGGUCUAGAUGUGGGUGUCCCAGUACAGAGCCCCCAGGGGCACCCCCCUGACCAGCCCUAACCCCCGGGCCCUCAAGCCCCAUACAGCACAGCCCCGCUUUGGCAGAUCUGCUGCUGCAGGAAGCGGUUCUCAGACGCAUUCUGGCUGCUCCCACCCAGCCAGGCCCAGGCUCGCAGGCCAGACCUCGCAGGGUCCCUCUAGCCCAGUCGCAAAGAAGUUGCCCAAAGCCCCCAACUCUCAAUGGGAAGUCUGGUUCCUUCAGCUUGGGCUUCAUCUCCAAGAGACACUGCCCCUGCAACUCAGACGGGAACUGGCCCCACCCUGCUGCCUCCUUCUGGUGCCAUCCUUGUCCCUUGUCCUCACCCUCAGGUUGGUACGCCCCUCGAAGCCCCCCACCAGAGGCAGUUCUGCUCCCAACACAGAUGUACCCUCUUAGACUCAGAGUUGCCUCAUUCUACGGGGAGGCACUGUUUUCUUUUUUUUUCCAUUUUUGGCUGCCUCCGCAGUACAUGGAGCUGUGGGCCAGGGGUCAGAUCUGAGCCGUAGUCUUGACCUAAGCUGCAGCUGUGGCAACGCCAGAUCCUUAAGCCACUGUGGCGGGCCAGGGACUGAACCAGCAUCCGAGCACUCCCAAGACGCCGCUGAUCCCAUUGCACCACAGUGGAAACUCUGGUGGCACCAUUUUAACCUAAGCCCUGGGGCUGACCUGAUCCCCUCUACAUCCUCACUACAAAGGCCCCCGACCUGUUCUGCAAAAAUGACUUCCAGAGAAGUCCACCCAAGGGAGAGAUCCUGCCUGGAGCAGCCUGAGAGGUGCCACCUCCAAGCAUCCUCGCUGGCGCUAAGAGUUAACUGUUUUCUCAAUCCAUGGCCAUCAGUGGGCCUGAAAGAGCACUUUGUCACUUUUAAUCCUCUGACGGUCAGGCUGAGUUUUUUUUGAGAAUUAGUGGAUUCAGUAACCAUUUUUCUGUUUCUGGAAGUUGUUCAUGUUGGUUGCAUUCCCCCCCGCCCCACUGAACCAUGCCUACCUAAUUUAUUGCUUUGGAGGAGCUCUUUGUAUAGGAUGCUCUUGGCAUCAUUUGAUGAACCUAAUUCAAACCAGUUUACCUCUUUUUUUUUAUUUUUACUUUUUUUUGUCUUUUGUCUUUUGUCCUUUUAGGGUCACACCCGCGGCAUAUAAAGAUUCCCAGACUAGGGGUAGAACUGGAGCUGUAGCCGCCAGCCUACGCCAGAGCCACAUAAACAUGGGAUGCGAGCCGCAUCUGUGACCUAUACCACAGCUCACGGCAACACCGGAUCCUUAACCCACUGAGCGAGGGCAGGGAUCAAACCCGCAUGGUUCUUAGUCAGGUUGUUUCCACUGCUCCACGACGGGAACUCCCCAAUUUACUUCUAAGUAUGGUGUUUUUGGAUACAAAUACUGUAUUCCCCAGCAGCUGGAUCUGUGGGUCAUUUCAUGAUGUCUGCCGCCCACUCCUCUCCCAGAUCUGAUGAACAUGGAAUCACCUUCUGCACUCCUCUCCCUCCCUGGACUUCUUACAUUUAAGCUUUUAUCCAUCUGGAAGUUAUACUGGCGGGGGUGGGGGGGGUAAGAGUUUGCUAGGGCUGCUCUAACAAAGUACCACAAACCAGGUGGCUUAAAACAAGAGAAAUACACUGUCUCGGGUUUCAGGAUGAAUGCAAACUCAAGGUGGGGGUGGGGAUGGCUCCCUUCAGAGGCUCGGAGGGAGACAGGGUCUCGUGCCUCUCCAGCUUUGGGGGACCCUCACUGCUCCUUGGCUUGUAGAUGUACACCCCUCUGAUUUCCUUUCCCAACAGCACAUGGUAGCGUUCACUGUCUCUGUGUCCUCUCUUCCUCGUAUAAAGACACCAGUUAUUGGAUUCAGGAUGAAGUCGCUUUGAGACCUUUAAUCACAUCUGCAAAGACCUUACUUCCAAUCAAGGUCACACUCUAAAGUUCUGAGCAGACAUGAACUUCAAGGGACACUUGUCGACCCAGUACAGCGUGGAAAGUGAAAGGAGGAUCUAGGAGUUUCCUAGUGGCUUAGUGGGUUAAGGAUCCAGGAUUGUCACAGCUGUGGCUCAGGCUAUGGCUGUUGUGGGUUCAGUCCUUCGCAGGGAACUUCCACAGGCCGCAAGUGCAGCCAAAAAACAGAGAAGAUGAUCCAGAUGGUCUCCAAAGAGUGAAUCAAUUGUUUUAAUGGUUUUUUGUUUGUAAUUUUUUUUGUAAACUGCUACACCUGUGGCCUAUAGGUUGAAUAAGAGCUGCAGCUGCCAGCCUGCGCCACAGCCACACCAACACCAGAUCUGAGCCACAUCUUCCACCUACGCCAUAGCUUGAGGCAACACUGGGUCCUUAACACCCUAAGCGAGGCCUGGAAUCAAACCUGCAUCCUCACAGACACUAUGUCGGGUUCUUAACCUGCUGAGCCACAACGGACACUUCUGUGUUUGUAGUUUUUAAAAAUUAUUUACUUAUUUAUUUAUUUUUGCUUUUUAGGGCUGCACUCUUGGCAUAUGGAAGUUCCCAGGCUAGGGGUUGAAUCUGAGCUACAGCUGCCCGCCUACACCACAGCCACAGCAAUGCAGGAUCCUAGCCAUGUCUGUGUCCUACACCAUGGCUCACGGCAACGCCAGAUCCUUGACCUACUGGGUGUGGCCAGGGAUUGAACCUGCAUCCUCUUGGAUCUGAGUUGGGUUCAUUAACUGCUGCCCAAUAGCGGGAACUCCAUGUUUUUUAUUUUUUUGUUUUUUAUGGCUUCACAGUGACAUAUGGAAGUUCCUAGGCUAGGGGUC